AUCUAUGGCGGAGUUUGUUUAUAAUAAUAGUUAUUAAGCAAGUAUCAAGAUGGCCUUAUUUGAAGAUUGAUCCAAAUAUAGUAAUUUUAUAUAAACUGUAAUCCAACAUUAUGUUACUGUAUUGAACCAAACAAGAUAAUAUAGUUUCAGUAGUAAUUUGAUUCAGAAAUAUCUAGUAUGUUGAAAUAACAUGUAAUACUAUAAUGCGAACCAAACACAUUCGAAGAUAAAGUCAUUUUGAAAAGGACAUUGAUGAUAUUUUUAAGUUUAGAGGGUAUUUAUAAAAUUAUGGUAUCUUAGAGGAAUAUUAAUAAAAUUAUUUCAAAAAAAUGAAAAAAACUAUAAUCAUUGAAA
rnacentral:lncRNA from 1 species